rnacentral:rRNA from 1 species
GGACUACUAGGGUAUCUAAUCCUGUUUGCUCCCCACGCUCUCGCGCCUCAGCGUCAGGUCCAGUCCAGGUGGCCGCCUUCGCCACUGAUGUUCCUUCCGAUCUCUACGCAUUUCACCGCUACACCGGAAAUUCCACCACCCUCUACUGACCUCUAGUCACACAGUCUAACAGGCUAUUCCUAGGUUAAGCCCAGGGAUUUCACCUCUCACUUGUAUCACCGCCUACGCGCCCUUUACGCCCAGUCACUCCGAUUAACGCUCGCACCCUCUGUAUUACCGCGGCUGCUGGCAC